rnacentral:rRNA from 1 species
UUUUUAGAGAGUUUGAUCCUGGCUCAGGACGAACGCUGGCGGCGUGCCUAACACAUGCAAGUCGAACGGAGCGACUCAACAGAAGGUCUUCGGACCGGAAGAUGACGAGCUUAGUGGCGGACGGGUGAGUAACGCGUGAGCAACCUGCCUACAAGAGGGGGAUAACGUUUGGAAACGAACGCUAAUACCGCAUAAAGUAUAUUAACGGCAUCGUAGAUAUACCAAAGGAGCAAUCCGCUUGUAGAUGGGCUCGCGUCUGAUUAGAUAGUUGGUGAGGUAACGGCUCACCAAGUCGACGAUCAGUAGCCGAACUGAGAGGUUGAUCGGCCACAUUGGGACUGAGACACGGCCCAGACUCCUACGGGAGGCAGCAGUGGGGGAUAUUGGUCAAUGGGGGCAACCCUGAACCAGCAACGCCGCGUGAAGGAUGACGGUCUUCGGAUUGUAAACUUUUGUUGUUGAGGAAGAUAAUGACGGUACUCAACGAGGAAGCCACGGCUAACUACGUGCCAGCAGCCGCGGUAAUACGUAGGUGGCGAGCGUUGUCCGGAUUUACUGGGUGUAAAGGGUGCGUAGGCGGGCAGUAAAGUCAGAUGUGAAAUACCGAGGCUUAACUUCGGGGCUGCAUUUGAAACUUACAGUCUUGAGUGAGGUAGAGGCAAGCGGAAUUCCUAGUGUAGCGGUGAAAUGCGUAGAUAUUAGGAGGAACACCAGUGGCGAAGGCGGCUUGCUGGGCCUUAACUGACGCUGAGGCACGAAAGCAUGGGGAGCAAACAGGAUUAGAUACCCUGGUAGUCCAUGCUGUAAACGAUGGAUACUAGGUGUGGGAGGUAUUGACCCCUUCCGUGCCGGAGUUAACACAAUAAGUAUCCCACCUGGGGAGUACGACCGCAAGGUUGAAACUCAAAGGAAUUGACGGGGGCCCGCACAAGCA